CGAACGGGUGAGUAACACGUGGGCAAUCUGCCCUUCACUCUGGGACAAGCCCUGGAAACGGGGUCUAAUACCGGAUAAUACUCCUGCCUGCAUGGGUGGGGGUUGAAAGCUCCGGCGGUGAAGGAUGAGCCCGCGGCCUAUCAGCUUGUUGGUGGGGUAAUGGCCCACCAAGGCGACGACGGGUAGCCGGCCUGAGAGGGCGACCGGCCACACUGGGACUGAGACACGGCCCAGACUCCUACGGGAGGCAGCAGUGGGGAAUAUUGCACAAUGGGCGAAAGCCUGAUGCAGCGACGCCGCGUGAGGGAUGACGGCCUUCGGGUUGUAAACCUCUUUCAGCAGGGAAGAAGCGAAAGUGACGGUACCUGCAGAAGAAGCGCCGGCUAACUACGUGCCAGCAGCCGCGGUAAUACGUAGGGCGCAAGCGUUGUCCGGAAUUAUUGGGCGUAAAGAGCUCGUAGGCGGCUUGUCACGUCGGAUGUGAAAGCCCGAGGCUUAACCUCGGGUCUGCAUUCGAUACGGGCUAGCUAGAGUGUGGUAGGGGAGAUCGGAAUUCCUGGUGUAGCGGUGAAAUGCGCAGAUAUCAGGAGGAACACCGGUGGCGAAGGCGGAUCUCUGGGCCAUUACUGACGCUGAGGAGCGAAAGCGUGGGGAGCGAACAGGAUUAGAUACCCUGGUAGUCCACGCCGUAAACGUUGGGAACUAGGUGUUGGCGACAUUCCACGUCGUCGGUGCCGCAGCUAACGCAUU
rnacentral:rRNA from 1 species